GAUUAACGCUGGCGGCGUGCCUAACACAUGCAAGUCGAGCGGCAGCGAGUUUUACACUGAAUUCUGGAAGCUUCUAGUUGAAAGAGAAGAUUUAUUCAAGAAUUUUGUGUAAAAUGUCGGCGAGCGGCGGACGGCUGAGUAACGCGUGGGAACGUACCCCAAAGUGAGGGAUAACGCAUCGAAAGGUGUGCUAAUACCGCAUAUGGUCUUCGGAUUAAAGCCUUCGGGCGCUUUGGGAACGGCCUGCGUAAGAUUAGAUAGUUGGUGGGGUAAUGGCCUACCAAGUCGACGAUCGUUAACUGGUUUGAGAGGAUGAUCAGUCAGACUGGAACUGAGACACGGUCCAGACUCCUACGGGAGGCAGCAGUGAGGAAUCUUCCACAAUGGGCGAAAGCCUGAUGGAGCAACGCCGCGUGCAGGAUGAAGGCCUUCGGGUUGUAAACUGCUUUUAUAAGUGAGGAUUAUGACAGUAACUUAUGAAUAAGGAUCGGCUAACUACGUG
rnacentral:rRNA from 1 species